AAAAAUUUGGGCCUCAGAAAAUUUAAUCGUCGGAGACAUCGCCGUCGUCUUCACCGUCUUCGUCUCCUCUUGCGCCUCUGCAUCUUCCUCGAUCUGUCGCCUCUUCUCUCCUCGUUCCGUUUGGAGGGUUUUUUUCGUCUACAUCAGAUAGUGCAGUUGAGCGGUGGCACAGUGAAUCAGACGCUUCCUAGAUGUCACGUCUGCAACGAGAAGUGUUUGCAAGAAGUAGCUGCCGUUGUCAAGGCCGGUUCAAGUGUCUCUAUGGCUGAUCAAUGUUCCGAGAAGUUACCUUCUUGGUUAAGAGCUGCUGAGACCAAGUCAGACAAGGUACCAACGAGCAGCGCCAAGCAUAUGGGGUUCUCAGUGGUUCUUUCAGAUAUGUGUCACUCUCAGUAACUGGAAUUACCAGUAGAGAGUGAAGAUGCUCAAGAUUUUGCGAGGAUUUGCAAGCCCAUCUUUAACAAGACCAUCAUCUCGAGAGAUCUACUUAAUUUGCCAGGGCUUUCGUUCAUAGAAUUAGCCUUUCAUAUACAAAUGAAGAUUCACCGAUAACUCUUUUUUAUGUUAGUUUAUAAAGGAUCAGAAAACAAUAAUAUAAAGGAGCAUGCAGCAUGGAGAUUUUGCGUGUUUGUGUUACAUUUACUUUGCAGCUUCUCUAUAUGUCUCUCAUACACAAUGAAAAAAACAAAUUUAGGAUAACCAUCAUAAACAAAACUUGCCUUGUAAAUAUUGUUUUGUAGGACU